CCACAUAUGGGCUGGACCCAACACAUAAGGGGAAGAGUGCGUCAUAUCUUUUAUCCAAAGCAAAGGUCGUAUGAUAUAUAGAAUCGAAACAUAGUAAAUUAUGUUUAUGGUUAAUUGGUGUUGACAAGGAAUAUGCCUAGUAAAUUAUGUUUGUUGGGGGUUAAUUGUGACAUAGAUGAUAGAGAUGAAUGUGCUCUUUAAUGACAAUUACUCGAUAGUGUUAAGUUAGAAGGACCUGACGGAAGGAGGAGACGUAUCCGUAUAAACAAAGCGUCACUCGUCUAGUUUUAGGGACAAUGUGAGAUGGUUAAUAAAGGCUAAUGCAAGGACGUGAUUGUACACCUCGUUUGAGAAAGAUGGUUAAUACUAUCAUUCUAUAAAUAUCAGAUUAAUGAAGGCAAUGUCUAUUUUCUUUUCUCUAUAGUUGUUUGCACUUUGUAGACAGUGCCUUUGCUAUCUAAACUUUGUUUAUGUACGAUAAGAUUACUAUCUAAACUAGCACGUAAGAAACUUCCAUUUUAAGUGUUCGACCUUCAUGCGUGACAGACUUACAUCGAUCAUUCUUUGGAUAAAAACAUGUCUGUUGCUCUAUGAAAGAACAUGCCUUAUGUUGGCAGUUUUGAACUGCAUAUCAUUGCUUUACAGUUAAUCAGUAAGGAUUCAUAGGAUUAACAAUGCAAACCUUAACUGAUAACACAAAAGACAUGCUCUUUUGAUUCUUAUACUUGCGUUAUCUUUGGACAUAAUAUUUCCUGAUGAUUGAAAUUUCAUCUCUGGACAUAUUCCAAAUGCAUGAUCGGAUGCAAUCAAAUCUCUCAUUUCCGUAAUGUCUUUGUUGCUUGCAAGUUGUUAUGGUGUAGAUUGCAACAUGCGACGCCCAGAAUCGGUAUGGGUUGACAUAGAGUGGGUUUAGGCUCAUGCACACAAUCUGUGUGGAUCUGCAAGUGUAAACAAAAUGACUUCUUAAUCGUACAAAUACCAGCAAGGGUGGCAUUUUGUGAUCACCAAGCCGACGUAAACAUAACGAGGUGGCCAGAUUGAUUCACAUUAUACUGAGUUCAACUCGAUUAAUAUAUCAAUCGAGGUCGGCUCUAGAAAAUUCUUAUUACAUAUUUCUGAUGAAGCUCUAUUUUUUACACUCGCAGGAAUUUUCAGUCUACGUUGCAGGACUGACCUUCUCGUGAUUUGUGCAUGCCUGUGUGAUAAACUACCACCGACCAGCAUUAGUCGUGAUUGGUGCCACCCUAUAAAUAUCGAGCGAUGAUGACAGUUUCGACUUCUUCGCGUGAUUGCGCCCUCUUGUUUCGUUCUCGAGUCGGAGAACUUUUCUCUCGCAUCUUCUUCUUCCCGUGAUUACGCCCUCUGUUUCGUCCUCCCGUCCCUCCCUCCCUCUGCCUUCUCCUCCGUCUUCCCUUCAUCUUCUUCUUCCCGUGAUUACGCCCUCUGUUUCGUCCUGAGUAUUCUAUUACGAUCUUGGAUCUUGAAGUUCUUUUCUAAAUUUUUGUUCCUGAUGUCGAAUCUUCAAUUGAUCACGUUAUCAAUUUGUUAUCUAUUUUCUCGAUCAAUUUUUGUUGUAAGAUCGGUAAUCUGUGAUGUUCUCGAUCCCUUUCUUUCCUGAUUAUUCUAUUACGAUCUUGGAUCUUGAAGUUCUUUUCUGAAUUUUUGUUCCUGAUGUCGAAUCUUCAAUUGAUCGAGUUAUCAAUUUGUUGUCUAUUUUCUUGAUCAAUGUCCGUCGUAAGAUUGGUAACCUGUGGUGUUCUUGGUCCCUUACUUUUCUGAGUUUUCUAUUACGAUCUUGGAUCUUGAAGUUCUUUUCUGAAUUUUUAUUCGUGAUGUUCAAUCUUGAAUUGAUCGAGUUGUCUAUUUUUUCUUUGUUAUUAUUUGUGACCUUGGAUCCCCUCUUCUUGUAUUAGUACUAGAUCUUUAACUAAUAAUUCGUGAUAUGUUGUGUAGCUUCCUUUUUAAGUUUUGUUUGUUAUCCUGGAUCUUGCAUUGAUAGAAAAUGCGGUUUGGAUUUGGAUCUGCGUGAAGAGAUGUUAUCUGAAGGAAAUUUGUAUUAACAAUAAAUUAAUGCGACCUGUGAAAAUUUCUUGUAUGGAGGAAAUGAAUUUUGCAUUGCUAUAUGCUAAAAAUUGAAAUGGAAGAUAAAAUAAGAAAGAGCUUGAAGGAGUUGUUGCACAAGGG
rnacentral:lncRNA from 1 species